UAAGGAAUAUUGGUCAAUGGACGGAAGUCUGAACCAGCCAUCCCGCGUGCAGGAUGAAGGUCCUAUGGAUUGUAAACUGCUUUUAGCAGAGACGAAACGCUUCCAUUGAUGGGAGUCUGACGGUAUCUGCAGAAUAAGCACCGGCUAACUCCGUGCCAGCAGCCGCGGUAAUACGGAGGGUGCGAGCGUUAUCCGGAAUCACUGGGUUUAAAGGGUGCGUAGGCGGGUUAUUAAGUCAGUGGUGAAAUCCUGUCGCUUAACGAUAGAAUUGCCAUUGAUACUGAUAGUCUUGAAUUGGGUUGAGGUUAGCGGAAUGUGACAUGUAGCGGUGAAAUGCAUAGAUAUGUCAUGGAACACCAAUUGCGAAGGCAGCUAGCUGGGCCUUGAUUGACGCUGAUGC
rnacentral:rRNA from 1 species